CUUACACAUGCAAGUCGAACGGCAGCGGGUCCUUCGGGAUGCCGGCGAGUGGCGAACGGGUGAGUAAUGCAUCGGAACGUACCUGGUCGUGGGGGAUAACACAGCGAAAGUUGUGCUAAUACCGCAUGAGACCUGAGGGUGAAAGCGGGGGCUCGCAAGACCUCGCGCGACUGGAGCGGCCGAUGUCAGAUUAGCUAGUUGGUAGGGUAAAGGCCUACCAAGGCGACGAUCUGUAGCGGGUCUGAGAGGAUGAUCCGCCACACUGGGACUGAGACACGGCCCAGACUCCUACGGGAGGCAGCAGUGGGGAAUUUUGGACAAUGGGCGCAAGCCUGAUCCAGCCAUGCCGCGUGAGUGAAGAAGGCCUUCGGGUUGUAAAGCUCUUUCAGCCGGGAAGAAAUCGCACGGGCCAAUACCCUGUGCGGAUGACGGUACCGGAACAAGAAGCACCGGCUAACUACGUGCCAGCAGCCGCGGUAAUACGUAGGGUGCGAGCGUUAAUCGGAAUUACUGGGCGUAAAGCGUGCGCAGGCGGAUGCUUAAGUCAGAUGUGAAAUCCCCGAGCUUAACUUGGGAAUUGCAUUUGAAACUGGGUAUCUAGAGUGCGUCA
rnacentral:rRNA from 1 species